rnacentral:rRNA from 1 species
GACGAACGCUGGCGGCGUGCUUAACACAUGCAAGUCGAACGGAAAGGCCCUGCUUGCAGGGUACUCGAGUGGCGAACGGGUGAGUAACACGUGGGUGAUCUGCCCUGCACUUCGGGAUAAGCCUGGUAAACUGGGUCUAAUACCGGAUAGGAGCCAUUUUUAGUGUGAUGGUUGGAUAGUUUUUUCGGUGUAGGAUGAGCUCGCGGCCUAUCAGCUUGUUGGUGGGGUAAUGGCCUACCAAGGCGGCGGCGGGUAGCCGGCCUGAGGGGGUGGACGGCCACACUGGGACUGAGAUACGGCCCAGGCACCUACGGGAGGCAGAAGUGGGGAAGCUUGAACGAGGGGCGCAAGGCUGAUGAAGAGGCGCCGCGGGGGGGAUGACGGUCUUCGGGUUGAAGACUCAUUUCGCUAGGAACGAAGCUUUUUGUGACGGUACCUAGAUAAGAAGCACCGGCUAACUACGUG